AGAGAAUUUUUUACAGACAAUGACUGCUUGAAAUCUGGAACUAAUCAACAUCAGGGUUUCCUCCUUUGUGAUGCUUUGCCAGGUCUUUACUGCAGCUGUGUCCAGUUGUUUGUUUGUGGGCAUUUCUGCCUUAAGUUUUGUUUUCAGCUAGUGAAAUGCAUGCUUGAUCAGGGGAUUGACUUGGCCAUUGCAAUAUUCCACUUCUUUGCCUUGAAAACGUACGUGUUGUUUUUGCAGUAUGUUUUGUGUCAUUGUCCAUCUGUAAAGUGAAGUGUGGUUGAAUCAACUUCGCUGAAUUUGGCUGAAUCUGGGCAUACAAUAUAUCCCGGUACAGUUCAGAAUUUAUUCAGCUACUUCUGUCUUCUUUUGUUACCGGGAAACUGACGGAGGCCAAGCACAGAGAGAUGGACACAGGUUUUUUCAGGAAGGAAGAGAUCUUUAUUCGAUUCACCGACCGGGACUCAGAGGGACUUAUGUCACCAAAAACAGCAAAGAUCUGAGUACUGAAUACAUAGAGUAGAUUCCUUAUAUAGCACUGUAGCUCCUCCCAUAAUUAGCUACGCCCACACAUACCCUUAACCUAAUCAAUGAAUUGAGUCUAAACUCAUCCAUCCGGUCUAACCACGUGGCUCAUCUGAAACAAAGGAGAGGGACGCGUAAUUCCAGUUCCUGCAUUCCUGCACAUGCUCAGUACAGUGAUGACAGUAUCUUAGCUACGUGUAACUAACUAACUGAUACCACAAACACAUGUACCUACAUAUGCCUUGUGGCAAUCUUGGCCUGCUAAACUUGUAUUUUACUGGAAUUCCAUCACAUUCCCCCCUUUGAUGCUUCUGAUUUAAAAUAAUUCCAGAUGCAUCACCAAUCAUAGUUUGCUUACACCUCAAGUUGCCAUAAACCAGACUAGACUUUGCGAUCCUCUAAAGAUACGAACCCCUCAACAUUCCUCUUCCUGCAUGUAUUCUCCUUGAUCUAGAGCUUCAUACCUGCAAACAGCCAUUACCUGUGCUGCGGCCUUUCUUUCUGCUAUACUUUCUAUAAUGCUCUGCAUAGACCUAAUUACCAAAGGAAUCAGACAUGGCAGAAGGAGACAACAUCAAAAUCAGUAUGACUCCACCUACCAAUGCCUUGAUUCCUCCAAACUGCUCAUACCAACUACCAAACCAACUACUCGGAUUAUACCCUUUCCAUACCUGAGUAGGUACAUGUGCUAGCUUAACCAUAUGGCUAGUAAGCUCAGCUAUUGCUUGCCCUUCAUCAUCUAUUUGAAGACAACAAUUGCUUAGAUUAAACUUCCCACAUACACCUCCCUCUACUGCCAAUAGGUAAUCCAAAGCUAAUCUAUUCUGGUAGAUGGCUGUCCUCAUCCUAGUGUUAUGCUUCGCUAGGAGAUUGAGCGCUUGUGAUGUUUCAUUGGUAACUAUCUCAACUACUGCUUGCAAUCUUAUAAUACGAUUAAGCAUAUAUAUUGGGGUUCUGUAUCCAUAAGUACCAUCCUCUGCCCAUGUAGCUGGCCCAUAAUAAUCUAUAAUACGCUGGGGAGGCCACUCAUCAUCUUCCCAGGUACCUAUCUCUAGGGGUGCCCUUUUCUUCCUAUGAUUUACAUCAUAUACUUUAACUCCCAAAGUCUCUCCUGUUUCAAUUGGCAACAAGAAGAAGGAUGGUUUGAGCAUACCUAGUACACAUGCCCCUUCCCAGUCUUGUGGUAACUCCGAAUAUGCCUUCUUACCACAAAUCCAGUACAAUUUUGCUGGGGCUUUCCAACUAGAUGUAGCAGAUAGGUCAAACCAUACAUCCUUUAAAUUGGUAUAAUUUGCAAACGGAUUAGACGGUUCUGAAACAUUUGAAGCUGGCCACCAAAUAGCAUCCUUUGUAUCGACAUUAUAGGCUUUCUGCCCUAAACAAGUCAAUUCUCCUACAGAUGUAUUAAACAUUAUUCCUUUCCUUGCUAUACAAACAUAACCUAUAAUGGAGGUCUUUAAUCGCCACUCAGAUUUACCUCUAACACUCACUUGAUAAUCAGAUUGAGAAGAUAUUAGUUGUUCAACUGUCUCAGAACCAGAAUACAUUACCUCCUUUGCUUCCCAAGGCCAUUGGUCUCCCAUAUUAGUACCUCCACACACAUAGCAGUUGGUUACAUUAAGACUACCAGCAAUGCUCUCAGCUAGGUCUAUGAAUAAGUUUUUGGCAUUAUGGGGAACCUUAUCUUCCACACUCAUCUCCUCAUAAAAAAAAUGGAAAACCUGAUGAGUCUGGGGGGCCACUGUAUCUGUCUCUAUUCCUAUGUAUAAUAUCGUCCCAGGAUCCAAACCUGUUCCAUAUAUUUGGAACCCAAAUAGAUUCCCAAACUUAUCUAUAAAUAGCUCUGGGUCCUUGAUAAGUAUAUGGACUGGGUUACACUCCACAGACUUACAAUAUGGCUUGGUAGGCAAUCUAGUGAUAAUCAUAUCCUUAUCUACUGUCUGUCCCCAGGUUGCCCAUCCCACACAGGACCAAUACGGACAAUAAUUGUAGUCUUUAUUUAGGCAGUUUGGAUCUAUAUACUUAUGCUUAUUACUAGGACAAAUAUACUUAUCAUUAGACCCAUACGUUCUUUCCCAUUUAAGACCACCACAUACAUUCCAUGGCUUCCUACUACCUGAUAUCGCCUUACAUGCAUCAAAUAGCAAAACACCUGGAGAAUGUACGCUUUCUAGUACAGUCUUAUUUAUCAGGUUCCCCUGUGCGUUCUCAUUCCGAAUAGUCAACCAAAUUGUACGGGGCUGAUACUCAGGAUUAAAACACCUAGGUUCUCCUGCUCCUAUAUGGCAUACACUAUAAUCUGUACCUAGGUAUCUACACUUUGAUACAUGUCCUGUGCACUCAUAUUGCGAAUGCCAAAUAAGGGUCUGGGAAAUACGAUUGCCUGUUUUUGUAGUCUUAAUGCAAACCUCGCAGCCUGGUGUGUCGGUACCUCUACCUUCCUGAAUAAUUAAAAACACACAUAUAUACAUCAUCAAACACAUUACUCCUGACAUCUUCUUCCUAAUUCUUCGACCGUGCGACGGCACCUCAGCUUCCAGGCGUGUGAGGGCUGCAGGGAAUGGAGUCCUUCUGAUCCUCACUGUUCUUCACAGAGGAUUCCUCUGGCUUAAACGUUGGUAGGUGGUCAGGCUUUAUUGUGGCCGUCAAAACACCUACUUGUAGAUCUUUGUUGAUGUUCCCUUGUAACAAUACUCUUCGCAAAAAACACUUUUAAUCUAACUGGGUCACUCGCUUCAACCGGAUCUUGCAGGGAUUCUCAGGAUCCCCUUGCUGCUGGUUUAACCCUGGAGUGAUGAAUCCAUCUCCAUGGCAAUACUGUUGGAGUAACAAAACAACAGCAUAAGGACCCCUCCACUUUGGCCCCAGGGGUACAUGUUCCACUCCUUUAUCCAAACUGGUCUCCUGGAUGGUAAGAAUGGAUGACAUAUUGACACCUUGACAUAUGGAUUGACACCUGUCCUCAGAGCCCCUCCUGCACACGGACACAGACUCUAUAGAGACUGGUCCCCCUACAUGGUUCUUGGCAGAUAUACCAUUGACAUACCACUCCCAGGAUCCCUGAUACACACUGACAUGACAGAUCAUCAGAGAUAUAUGACUGUGCAAAAGGGUAGCUGGAUUCAGGGUAUUAACAGUUUCACAUAACAUGGCUUGGGUCACUUGGCAGAUAUGGAUUGACACCUGUCCUUACCUUUAUAGUCUACACACUGACACACUGCGUGCGGGACUCGCACAUAGAGUUCCUGACCCAGAGUGAGCUUGUCAGCUUCUGCUACCAACAGGGCGGCGGCAGCUACGGCCCUUAGACAAGGAGGAAGACCACUGGCUACUGCAUCCAGUUGUUUGGACAUAUACGCAACAGGUCGUUGCCAUGAUCCCAGAUACUGUGUCAGUACUCCCACAGCCAUCCUUCUUUGCUCGUGUACAUAUAAGUAGAAUGGACGUAUAUGAUCAGGUAGACCUAAUGCGGGGGCGCUCAUCAAUGCCUUCUUAACAUCCUCAAAUGCCUUCUGCUGUUCGAUGGUCCACAGGAAGGAAUCAUGUUCCGUGCCUUUAAUAGCGGCAUAGAGGGGUUUCGCCAGUGUCGCAUAACUGGGAAUCCAUAUCCUACAGAAGCCUGCUGCCCCCAAGAAUUCUCGCACUUGUCUUCUGUUUUUAGGUGUUGGUAUUUGGCAUACAGCCUCUUUUCUUUCAGGCCCCAUUAUCCUUUGACCUUGAGAGAUAUGGAAUCCCAGAUACUUGACAGUUGGCUGACACAACUGAGCUUUCUUCCUGGACACCCUGUAUCCUGCCUUCCAAAGAAUGUGCAGUAAAUCAUAAGUUGCUUGCUGGCAUAUCUCUUUAGUAACUGCCGCUAUCAACGAAUCAUCCACGUAUUGUAGUAGUACACAUUCUCCUGGGAUGGACUUGAAAUCUAAUAAGUCCUGACUUAAUGCUGAUCCAAAUAGUGUAGGUGAAUUUUUAAACCCUUGGGGCAAUCUUGUCCAGGUCAUCUGACGUUUCGAGCCCGUUACAGCAUCUUCCCAUUGGAAUGCAAAGAUACACUGGCUUUCUGUAGCAAUUCGUAGGCAAAAGAAGGCAUCUUUAAGGUCCAAGACUGUAAAUAAGUAGCCCCACCCGGAAUCAAGGCAAGCAGGUUAUAAGGAUUGGGCACAACUGGAUGUAUACUUACUACCGCAUCAUUGACUGCUCUCAAAUCCUGCACAUGGCGAUACUCAUCUGACCCAGGCUUCUGAACAGGCAACAAUGGAGUAUUCCAGGGGGAAGUACAGAAUUUUAGGAUACCAUACCUUAUGAACUUAUCCAAAUAAGACUGUAUGUUCUUCUUCGCCUUUUGAGGUAUAUGGUAUUGUCGCAGGCUUACUGGAUAAACUCCAAGUUUUAGUUCGAUGCGUAUAGGUGGGAUAUUGCGAGCAAGUCCUGGUGGGUUAUUUUCUGCCCACACUCUUGGUAUAUUAUACAAGGAUUCAUCACUCUUAGGGUUUUGACUUGUCAUCACUGUAUAAAGUCGCCACUCUUCUUCCUUUGGUACUGAUAGUGUCAUUAUACCUGAGGGUCCAUUAAACUUCAAGGAUGUUGUUCCGUUAGGCAGAAAUGUUAUCUGUGCUUGUAACUUCGACAACAAAUCCCAUCCUAGAAGUUGGACUGGACAUUCAGGCAUGUAAAGGAACUGAUGUUUCACUACGUGGCCUCCUAGUGUACAGAGUCGACUUUUGAGAACCGGUUUAGCAGCACUCCUCCCAGUUGCUCCUAUUACAGUGAUAGUUCUUCCUGAAGGAGGAGCAACUAGGUCGGUUACCAGAGAAUGUUCAGCACCAGUGUCGAUCAUGAAAGAACUCCUUUUUCCCCCUAUUGCUACAUCGACCAUAGGCUCCACUCGACCAAGGGGAAUGGAGCCCGGUCGGUAUCAAUAGUCCUCCAUAACAGUGUCAGCCAAACCCACAAAGUCUCUAUCCUCUCUUUCUCUAGGUCUCUGCGUGGGUAGAUAAUAUCUGUCCCCUUGAACACUUCCUCUAUUAUUCCCACUAUUUCCUCCAAAACUUCCUCUACCUCGUCCUCUAUAACCACCUCACCCUCUUCUCUCUUCUUGUCUACCACCUGCAAUAUAUCCCCUCUGUGGACAGUCACUUUCCAAUGCCCUUCCUCUUUACAAUAUGCACUUUGAUUCCUACUUAAAGGUCCCUUAUUCAGCCUAUUCUCGACUCCUUUAUUCACUUCCCUUCCCUGUCUUUCUACACUUGUGAUAGCUACCGCUAGCAUAUCUACCUUUUUCCUCAUCUUACGUUCCUUCUCACGCUUUGUCUCAGUUCCCCUAUUCAUAUACACCUUAUUUGCAACCUCCAUUAGCUGUGAUAUGGAUAUCCCUGCAAAUCUCUCCAAUUUUUGUAACUUUCUCUUAAUACUGCUCUGGGCCAGGCUGACAAAUGCUGAAUUAAUAAUUUGGAAGUUUUCAGGGGCUUCAGUAUUGAAAGGAGUGUACAAUCUAUUUUACUCAAGCAGUCUCUCAUAAAAAGCACUGGGUGAUUCAUUAGCUUUUUGUAACACUUCAGCCGUCCUGGACAUGUUAAUUGCCUUUUUCCCUCCUGCCUUCAUGCCAGCAGUAAUGGCUUGUUGAUAGGCCUUUAAAUGGAUCAUGUCAGCGCCAUUUACGUUUCAAAGGUCAGUAAUAAUUGCUGACAAUCAGCCCAGGUGAGAUUGUGGGUUUGUAUAAUAGAGGUAACCAAAUCUGUCAUGACUUGAGGCUUAUCAGUGUAUGAAGAAUUACGUGUCUUCCAAUUAAAUAAGUUAGUCGUAGUGAAAGGAACAUAAACAAAUACAGGGUCUGCAUGUUGCAACUGACCAUUAUUGUCAACGUGUGUUGGGCCCAGUGUAAGUUGGAGAGGCAUUUGGUAAUGUCGGGGUUGGAGGGUACCAGUCAUCUGUCGGGUUAAUACAGGGCUUCGGCAAGGCUGCUCAGUCUGAGAGUAGUAAGAUAGGUGGAAGGGGGUGAGCUAAUUUUACUAGUCAGCAUUUGGUGGAUGAAACAUUUUUUUUUUUUUUUUAAAGUGUUAAACCAAAAACCUACCAGUAGGUGUCACCAGAGGGUAAUUGUAUCAAAAUAAUCUUUAUGGGUCUAAUAAUAAAACUUAACUUUUAAUAUAUUUAUACAUAAAACAAAACCUUAUAGUAGUUUUAGUGCUAUUUCAAUGUUUAUGGUACAAUGUCAUUGCUGAGAAUUAUCUGAUCCAAUAGACUCAGUUACUGUUAUUAAGAAUUCUCCUCACAAUUUAACUGUAAAUAAAAUGCAAUGCUAAAAUACACUCCUACCAAAAAGGAAGUCAAUUUAAAUUACAAAAAAAACAGUUUGUACAGAAAUACAAGAGUUUGAAAGAAAAGAACAGAUAGGUAUGUGGGUAGGCGUGGACAAUAGAGCAGGGGGAUUGCAAAUACCAGCUAUACUAGUUUUGGGCUACUCUGGCUAUGGAGGAUGAAUUAGGGGUUGGUAAUCAGAUGCAAGAGGGGGGGAGGUGUCCAAAGCAGUUGUAAUUAAGGUUUUAGAGGACAAACAAGUUCUGACUACCAUGGACUCCAUUGUUCCUCUUAGCACAGUUUGUUCCAUUUAGCAGUGUUUCAACAAUCUGUAUACAGAAACUACUCGUAUAGCCCCAACAUAUUAUUAAUAACACUGUAAACCUGCUAUAUUAAAUCUGGAUCAAGGAUCCACAGGAACACUGGUUACCAGAAGAGGCCGUCCUCUGCUACACAGAGUAUUUUAAUCUUUUGGGGGACAGUGUUACACCAUAAUCACAAACACCAUAUUCCUUAGAAAGGGUUUUUUGUUUUUUUUUGACACAUACAAGACAAAGGACUGUUUGUGAAUCAGAAGCACCCAUGAUUUCAACAGAGCGUCUGAUUCAAAGCAGUACAAAUAUACAAACAGUUUCAACAGUCACACCAGUUACCUUGGCAACAGCACCACGUGGCACAGUUACUAGGCCAAACACACACCAAAAACACGAGGAGAAUUCUCAUACACACACAGCUGUUACACCACACACUAAAUAACUAUUACUGUACCUUUUUUGGCGAAAUUAUACAAUUAUCCACGCUAUAAUUCUCAGUAUUUAAAUUACCCGUCUAUAACACACCCUAGUAACAUCGUCUUUACAAACAGUAGUUAUAGUACAGUUAGCAUUGGUUAGAAUACAAUUUUAAAGUCACAGGUCAGUUAAUAGUAGUUAUGGUGUUAAACAUACAACAUAAAUGACAGUUAUUAGUGAUUAUUUACAGUAUCAGUGAUUAUAAUAUAUGGUUAUUGUGACGAGACCAAUCUCGCCACAUUGCAUUGGAGAAGCCUGGUUACUCGCCUGCUGCCUUUGGACUAUGGCCCCCUGUUAAAAGACAUCUUUUCUACCUGCAGAAAAGUUUAAUUCGUGCUUUUCUGCCUGGGGUUCGGUAGAUUUGUUUUAAUGUGUUAUACCCCAGAUAGGAAUCCCAUGGAGCCCAUUUGUAUGAAACUGACUGUAAAGACUUUGGCUCCAUGCGAUUAAACUGUAUUCGUGUGGUCUGAGCGCCAUUCACUUAAUAAUGUGCGCUCAGACCUGAGCUAUCUGGGGAUAUGUGAAAUGUCUGUGUUUUAUGUAUAAAAUGUGACUUUAUGUAUUUUAAAGUGUUUUGUGUCUUUUUGCAACCAUGUGCUUAAUGGAGUCUUGUGUCUGUCCUGGGAGAUAAUUGAAUUACUUAUCUCCAGGAUAGAAGACUCUGAAACUGGUUUGGGCCAGAAAGCCAUGCUUCAUUUAGUCACAAAGGACUUUUUACUAACUUUUGAACCCCUUGUCUGAUUUGUGCCAUUUUUGAAUAUGUUGUUCCCCUGAAUGGAUUGAUUGAGAAUAUGUAAUUUUAUGUGAAUGUGAUGUAUGGUUUUGGAGUUAUGAAAGUUGGGUAGAAAGUAUGUUUUAACUGUAUGUAUAAUUGAGUUUCCUCUCAGGAUAAGGGGAGGGAAUAUGUGGGAUGUAACUGUGAUGUGAUUGGUUGUUUUAUACCUCCCUGUGGGCGGUCCUGUAUUUGCAAGACUGUAAUAAAAACCAGGCUGGGUGUGCCAGCACCUCAGACCACUGCUUGACCCUCAACACGGAGCCUUGUCUCGUUCUUGGGGGGAUUCACUGUAUGCUGUUAGAGACUGAUUGCCAGGAGUGUAAGCUGUUGUCUGCUUUUCCUGUUCGUCUGCUAGCAGCUAUUUGGGAGGUUCCAGUUCGGGAGUUGGAGUGCUAUUUUGUAUCCAGUUCGGGGGUUUGGUGUUCUGCAGUAGCUGUGCCUGUAUCUCUGGAAAGGGGGCCGAUCGCCUAAACGGUUUUUACUCCUUGUGUGCAAAACGGUCCGUUACAGUUAUGGUACCGUGCGCUAUGAUACAGUUACACACUAUUCACACUCUCACUAGACGGCAGAGCUCACGCUACUGUCGGGAUCCCGCGGGCGGCUGCGAAGGGAGGCUGCACUCCGCUCGCAGUACUCACCCUCCAGCCAUCCGCGGUCCCCUCCUCCUCGUGGGCUCGGCCACCGGCAUCCUUCCAGUCUCGGAUGCCGCCCGCCGUUUCCUCCACGUCCCCCAGCGGCAGCAUACAUGACGCUGCACGCCGGGAGACCGCUCAAGUUAUUACACGCCGGGGUCAGUCACCUGACCCGGCGUUAAAGGCACAGUGUCUCAAUCACAGUGGGAGGUUUAGAUAUCUCCCACGUGUGAUUGUUAAUUCUGAUUGGAAAUUAUCCAAUCAGAAUUAACCUUUUGAUUUAAAUACUUACCUUUCCUGUUCCUCCCUGCCCUGUUGUGGUCUUUGCUUUCUAGUAUUGCUACUUACCUUGUACUUCUGGUUACGUACUCUCUGGCUUGUUUAUCCGACUCUGUGACUUUCUCCUACCCUUUGACCUCGGCUCGUUUUAACGUUAUUCUGUCUUCUGGUUCCCCUUACACGGCUUGUCUCCUGACUAUUCUGUGUGUGCUUAGCCCGGCCACUCUAAGGUCCGGUACGGCACCUUUUCUGUGUGUGUGUGUGUGUGUGUGUGUACCGGCGUGUUGGGUUCCCCGAAUCUUGACAUUACAACACGGCCAUAAUGGAACCUGCUGACAUACCACAGCUCCUAGUUAAUCAAGAGGCUAGAAUGGAUGGCUUGGACCACCGUAUGGAUCAGUUUGCUCAAGCUUUGCAAACCAUACUGGCUCGUACUGCACACUUGCAACCUGCCGUUCAGGAGGCUGCUGCUGCUGUGCCCGAACCCAUUCCCACUCCAGUACCCGUUCCCGCUCAUGUAGUUCACAUGACGCCGCCACAGCGCUACAGCGGCGACCCAGCAUUGUGUCGUGGUUUCCUCAACCAAAUCAACAUCCAUUUGGUCAUGAAUCCACGUUCCUAUCCCACUGACAGAUCUAAAAUUGCCUUUUUGACAAACCACUUGUCCGGGAGAGCUUUAGCAUGGGCCAACCCCAUUUGGGAAAAUACGUCUCCUAUGUCCUUUGCAGAUUUUCUGACAGCUUUCAGACGCACGUUUGAUCAACCCGGUAGGGUUGCUUCUGCUGGCAAGGCUCUGCUUAGGGUCCGACAGGGUAACAGAUCUGUAGCGGAUUACACUAUCAAAUUCCGCACUCUAUCAGCUGAAGUGGUUUGGAAUAAUGACGCCCUCGUAACAGCCUUUCAGGAGGGUUUGGCCGCUUAUAUACUGGAUGAAAUAGCAUCCAGGGAAUUGCCUGCUCUUCUAGAUGAUGUUAUAGACUAUGUGAUUCUUAUCGAUAACCGUAUUAGAGAGAGGCGUAGUCAAAGACGGUUGGAUACACGGGUGUUACCUGCUCUACCCAGUACUGAACUGCUAGCGUUACCCGCUCCUAGGCAACCAUCCCCUGAACCCAUGCAGUUGGGUGCUACGGGGUUAACUGAGGCCAAAAGAGCGUACCGUAGAAGGGAGGGGUUAUGCCUUUAUUGUGGGAAGAAGGGGCACCACUGUAAAGCCUGCCCUAAAGUACAGGUAAACUCCAGCACCUAAGGCCUAGAGAGGGGUCGGCCUCCGGUGUUAUGACUUUGUCCCCUCAUGUGUCCAUCUCCAGACCGUUUAUUACGGUUUCUCUUUUGGUCAAUAAAACCACUUUAACAACCAAAGCCCUGAUCGAUUCGGGUGCGGCAGACAACCUUAUGGAUGAGACCUUUGCCAAAACCGCAGCCCUGAAUUUGAUCCGAAAGGAUACACCCUUGGCCGUUGAGACCAUAGAUGGUAGACCACUGGAGAAACCUCAGGUAACCCAUGAAACCCAGGAAAUAGUUAUGUCUGUGGGUGUUUUGCACAAGGAGAAGUUAACCUUCCAAAUAAUUGACUCCCCUACAGCCUCCAUCGUUCUGGGUUUUCCCUGGUUAGUUAAACACAACCCUGUUCUUGAUUGGGGUUGUUUAGAUAUACUCUCCUGGGGGGAAUCUUGUCAACGAGACUGUAUGGCUCAUGUACGUCCUGUUUGUUUACUUAACAUGCCCACGGCUAAACCACUCUCGGUUUCUGUCCUUUCUGUUUAUGCAGACCUUGCCUUGGUUUUUGAAAAGAGGGAGGCAGAUAAGCUACCUCCACAUCGUGAGUAUGAUUUGUGCCAUAAACCUCUUACCAGUUACUAUGCCUCCUAGGGGAAAGGUCUACCCUCUUUCUGAAAAAGAAAACCAGAUCAUGGAGGAGUACAUACAGGAAUCCCUAAGUAAAGGUUUUAUUAGAAGGUCCUCCUCUCCUGCUGGUGCUGGUUUCUUCUUUGUGGCAAAGAAGGAGGGCGAUUUGAGGCCAUGUAUAGACUACAGGGGUCUGAACAAUAUAACGGUUAAAAACGCCUACCCUAUCCCCCUCAUCACUGAGUUGUUUGAUCGUGUUAAAGGUUCUUAAUUCUUCACCAAAUUAGACCUCAGGGGGCUUAUAACCUGUCUGUAUAAAGGAGAAUGAUGAGUGGAAGACAGCGUUCAACACACGCAGUGGGCAUUACGAAUAUCUGGUCAUGUCUUUUGGACUGUGUAAUGCUCCUGCCGUGUUUCAGAACCUCAUAAAUGAUGUCCUUAGGGAUCUAUUGCAUGUCUGUGCUGUGGUGUACCUUGACGACAUACUUGGUAUUCUCCUGAUUUGAAGUCACACCAUAACCAUGUUAGGAUGGUGCUCAAAAGGCUAUUACAGAACGGACUCUACUGUAAGUUAGAAAAAUGUCUAUUCGAUCAGACCUCUGUGCAAUUCCUAGGAUAUAUCAUUACUGAACAGGGUUUCAGUAUGGAUCCUGCUAAAUUGGAAGCUAUACUGUCAUGGCCACUUCCCCAAGGACUGAAGGCUAUCCAGCGUUUUAUAGGGUUUGCCAACUAUUAUAGGAAAUUUAUAAAAAACUUUUCACCACUUAUAUCUCCUAUAACGAAGCUGACAAAAAAAGGUCUACACCCUAGGGUUUGGACUCUUGAAGCCCUUAAGGCCUUCGAAACCCUCAAGAAGGCAUUUGCCUCUGCUCCAGUGCUGCACCACCCUGAUCCUUCUCUUCCCUUUGUUAUGGAAGUAGACGCUUCAGAGUCGGGUGUGGGAGCAGUACUGUCACAGAGGUUGUCGUAUGACAAACCCCUCCAUCCCUGUUGUUAUUUUUCUAAAAGGUUGUCUGAUUCAGAAAAGAAUUACGAUGUUGGGAACAGGGAACUAUUAGCUAUUGUGUUAGCUUUUAAGGAAUGGAGAUACUUAUUAGAGGGUUCUAGACAUAAAAUUAUGGUUAUAACAGAUCAUAAGAACCUCUCCUAUAUAGCUGAUGCUAGAAGGUUAUCCGCCCGGCAGGCUAGAUGGUCUCUAUUUCUCUCACGCUUCCAAUAUGUUAUUACCUAUAGACCUGGUUGCCGUAAUGCCAAAGCUGACGCUAUCUCUCGACAACACGAACCAGUAGAAUUUGUUAACCCCACUCCUGAACCUAUUGUACCUGCGUCUCAGAUAAUAGCUGCUACCCGUUUGGUUGUUUCUUCACCUUUCCUUGAUAGUAUUAAGACAUACCAAACCCAAGCACCCCCUGAGACGCCGGUUGGUAAACUAUACGUUGAAGCAAAUGACAGAAAAAAGUUGUUAACUUUAUUUCACACCACCAAAACUGCUGGCCAUUCGGGGGUUACCAAAACCUACAAGGGCCUCCUUCAACAGUUCUGGUGGCCUUCACUCAAGCGAGACGCAGGGAAUUUUGUUCAGGCUUGUCGGGUCUACACGCAGUGUAAGUCCCUUAAUGUGAGACCCCAGGGUUUUCUGAUGCCUCUAUCUAUACCCAAGAAACCAUGGACCCACUUAUCCAUGGAUUUCAUUGUAGACCUUCCUCUUUCUGAUGGUCUGACGGUGAUACUGACUGUAACGGAUAGGUUCUCUAAAAUGGCGCACUUUAUUCCGCUUAAGAAACUGCCUUCUGCGGUUCAGUUAACUCAGGUGUUUGCCAAAGAAGUGUUCCGCUUGCAUGGGGUACCUCAGGAUAUCGUAUCUGACAGGGGUCCUCAAUUUGUCUCUCGGUUUUGGAGGGGCUUUUGUGCUGAGAUGGGGGUCUCCUUGUCGUUCUCUUCCUCCUAUCACCCGCAAUCUAAUGGUGCGGCCGAACGUGCUAAUCAGUCUGUGGAAUUGUAUUUACGCUGCUUCACUAAUGCGCACCAGGAUGACUGGUCUCGCCUUCUUCCGUGGGCUGAAUAUGCCAGGAAUACGGUGUCUCAUUCGUCUACUGGCUUAAGUCCUUUUGAGGUUGCUUAUGGGUUUCGACCUUCUGUCCUUCCCGGUGCGUUCUCUGACAAGGGAAUGCCCGCCUUGGACCAGCACCUCGCCUCUUUGCGGAAGACGUGGGAUCAGGUCCAUGUUGCGCUGUCUCGUUCAGCAGCUGCUCAGAAAAAGUUUGCUGAUCGCCGUAGGGUUGCGGCCCCUUCUUAUGUUCCGGGUGAUAGGGUAUGGUUGUCCUCCAGGAAACUCCGUCUCAAGGUCCCCUCGAUGAAAUUUGCCCCCAGGUUUCUUGGUCCCUACAGGGUCUUACGUAGGGUUAACCCCAUUUCCUACUCCCUUGACCUGCCUCCUUCCAUGCGUAUCCCAAACACGUUUCACGUCUCGCUUUUAAAGCCCAUGCUGUGUAACCGGUUCUCUCGUCCCCUCGGGCGGCCCGUUUCCCCUCGCGCUGUCUCUGGCGACGUGUACGAGGUGGCUGCCCUUCUCGACUCUCGUGUUUCUAGGGGUCGGCUGCAAUAUUUGGUGGAUUGGAAGGGGUACGGCCCUGAGGAGCGGUCUUGGGUUUCGAGCUCUGAUGUGCACGCUCCCUCUUUGGUCCUCUCCUUUCAUGCCCUGUUUCCUUUGAAGCCUUCUGCUUCCCGCCUUCCGGGCGGUCUUCGAGGGGGGGGUAAUGUCGGGAUCCUGCGGGCGGCUGCGAGGGGAGGCUGCACUCCGCUUGCAGUACUCACCCUCCAGCCGUCCGCGGUCCCCUCCUCCUCGUGGGCUCGGCGACCGGCAUCCUUCCAGUCUCGGAUGCCGCCCGCCGUUUCCUCCACGUCCCCCAGCGGCAGCAUACAUGACGCUGCAUGCUGGGAGACCGCUCAAGUUAUUACACGCCGGGGUCAGUCACCUGACCCGGCGUUAAAGGCACAGUGUCUCAAUCACAGUGGGAGGUUUAGAUAUCUCCCACGUGUGAUUGUUAAUUCUGAUUGGAAAUUAUCCAAUCAGAAUUAACCUUUUGGUUUAAAUACUUACCUUUCCUGUUCCUCCCUGCCCUGUUGUGGUCUUUGCUUUCUAGUAUUGCUACUUACCUUGUACUUCUGGUUACGUACUCUCUGGCUUGUUUAUCCGACUCUGUGACUUUCUCCUACCCUUUGACCUCGGCUCGUUUUAACGUUAUUCUGUCUUCUGGUUCCCCUUACCCGGCUUGUCUCCUGACUAUUCUGUGUGUGCUUAGCCCGGCUACUCUAAGGUCCGGUACGGCACCUUUUCUGUGUGUGUGUGUGUGCCGGCGUGUUGGGUUCCCCGAAUCGUGACAGCUACCCAGCAAGAUAUACACUCUUCUAUAAUAAAUUUUAACACAUUUACAGUUUCCCAACUAAUCUAUUCUACAGUACCUCGAGGGACUACCUAAAACUAUUUACAUCCGUUUUGGUUAGCCGUCGCUGCCCAAGCACCACAUAUAGCGAACUAGAGGGCGGAAUUUACAACAAUACCCUUUUAGUCUAGUCUAUCUACUCUAUCAAUAGUCUAGUAGGUUCCAAAUUUACACGCCUUCCCACUUAGCCAAGAUAGGUUGAGAACUAGCAAACGAUAAUGUACACCAGAGUCUGCUUAGUCUCCCGGUCCCUCUGACCUAGCGAACGAAAUGUACACCCUAGAUACGCUAGUCUAGACAAGAUACCGGUGUCCGGCUUGGGCUAUAUACAUUCAACCAAGACCCAGUCUGACUCCAUACCAAGAUUAUACGGGCUGACUACAGGGCGUCUAAUUAUGAGCGGUGCGCCUUCGCUCCUUCCCUCCACUGGAGGGGGCCAAUUCCAUACACAAUUCCAAUUCAAACCCCUUAUGGGCCUACCGCACAAUCGGUAUCCAAUACCCCUAGUGGGUCCACCGUCUAAAACAGUAGUCGUCUUACCUCCUCGUUCCUGAACCUGAGUUCACACUCAUCGACGGGGACACCCCAGCACUUACUACGUAGAGGCCGAUGAUCUCCUGGACAACAGACCAGUGGCGCCGAGACGAAGGGAGGUCCACGCAGAAGUUCAGGGGUGCAGCCGUAGAGAACGUGGGCAAAGAUAGACCGUCUCACGCCUCUGCUUCCUAGCCACCGUUAACGACGAGCUUCCCGGCCAAUGCACCAAAGAUGUUACCGGGAAACUGACGGAGGCCAAGCACAGAGAGAUGGACACAGGUUUCUUCAGGAAGGAAGAGAUCUUUAUUCGAUUCACCGACCGGGACUCAGAGGGACUUAUGUCACCAAAAACAGCAAAGAUC